rnacentral:misc_RNA from 1 species
UUCUUCUUUUUCUUCUUCUUCUUUGCUGUUCCAUCCUCAUGCACGCCAUUACCAUUACCAACAGUCUGAUCCUCUUCAUGCUCUGCCUCCUCUUCUGAUUUCCGCUUCUCUUUCUUCUUCUUUUUCUUUUCAGACUUGGGUUCUUCAGAGGCAUCACCAUUUGUUUCAAGUGGUUUAUCCUCGAUCAUGGGUUGAGCAUAUUCCACCACAUCAACUUUGGAUUUCUUUUUCUUGCUUUUCUUCGUGGAAGGCUCAUCCACGUCCAUUUCUGUGUCUUUAUCUUCGACGGUUUCAAUAGCAGCUUUCAUCACAUCUAGGUUUUUUCGUGGUGCAACCCCCUUGUCAUAGAAGUCUAGACGCUCCUCAACUUGUUCACGGAGUUUCUCUCCAAAAGUAGUAGUACUCUUAUCUAAGAAACAGUCGAGACGAGAAGCAAUAGAACACUUGUUUGCAAGAUAACGAGCCAUUCGACCUUUAUUACGAGCAGAGGCACGGCCAAUGAAAGAAGAAUGGAAUAUGAGUCCAUAUUUUGGUGUAUUUCCUUUGGUUUUCAAGGCCCUGAAGAGUGCCUUCUCAGCACCCAGGAUCUGAAGGGUAGAAGAAGGG